UACGUAGGGUGCGAGCGUUGUCCGGAAUUACUGGGCGUAAAGAGCUCGUAGGUGGUUUGUCGCGUUGUCCGUGAAAACUCACAACUCAAUUGUGGGCGUGCGGGCGAUACGGGCAGACUGGAGUACUGCAGGGGAGACUGGAAUUCCUGGUGUAGCGGUGGAAUGCGCAGAUAGCAGGAGGAACACCGGUGGCGAAGGCGGGUCUCUGGGCAGUAACUGACGCUGAGGAGCGAAAGCGUGGGGAGCGAACAGG
rnacentral:rRNA from 1 species